rnacentral:rRNA from 1 species
UACAGAGGGGGCAAGCGUUGUUCGGAAUUACUGGGCGUAAAGGGCGCGUAGGCGGCCUGUUAAGUCGGACGUGAAAUCCCUCGGCUCAACCGGGGAACUGCGUCCGAUACUGGCGGGCUUGAAUUCGGGAGAGGGAUGUGGAAUUCCAGGUGUAGCGGUGAAAUGCGUAGAUAUCUGGAGGAACACCGGUGGCGAAGGCGGCAUCCUGGACCGACAUUGACGCUGAGGCGCGAAAGCCAGGGGGAGCAAACGGG